rnacentral:lncRNA from 12 species
UGAAUUUGGUGAGGAGGUGACGAGAAGAAGGAAGGGCUGUGUCAGAGAAAGGGGCAGGGGCAUUGGCAGAGCAGGAGAUGUGAGUGGAGGGGGCACUGCUCAGCCCUGUCCUGCUGCCCAGCAGCGAGGGGCAGGAGGAGAGCAGCCAAGGCACUGAGGGAGUGACACCAGGGAGCCCAGAGGUGCCCCAGGGGUGCA